AUCAACUUUCGAUGGUAGGAUAGAGGCCUACCAUGGUGGUGACGGGUGACGGAGAAUUAGGGUUCGAUUCCGGAGAGGGAGCCUGAGAAACGGCUACCACAUCCAAGGAAGGCAGCAGGCACGCAAAUUACCCAAUCCCGACACGGGGAGGUAGUGACAAUAAAUAACAAUACGGGGCUCUUUCGGGUCUCGUAAUUGGAAUGAGUACAAUUUAAAUCCCUUAACGAGGAACAAUUGGAGGGCAAGUCUGGUGCCAGCAGCCGCGGUAAUUCCAGCUCCAAUAGCGUAUAUUAAAGUUGUUGCAGUUAAAAAGCUCGUAGUUGAAUUUCGGGAUUGACACAUCGGUCGUGCCUUAAGGGGUAUGAACUGGUGUAGUCAAUUUCUCACCUUCUGGAGAACCGCAAUGCCCUUAAUUGGGUGUCGCGGGGAACCAGGACCUUUACUUUGAAAAAAUUAGAGUGUUUAAAGCAGGCAUUUUGCUUGAAUACAUUAGCAUGGAAUAAUAAAAUAGGACGGCAUGAUUCUAUUUUGUUGGUUUCUAGGAUCACCGUAAUGAUUAAUAGGGAUAGUUGGGGGCAUUAGUAUUCAAUUGUCAGAGGUGAAAUUCUUGGAUUUAUUGAAGACUAACUACUGCGAAAGCAUUUGCCAAGGAUGUUUUCAUUAAUCAAGAACGAAAGUUGGGGGCUCGAAGACGAUCAGAUACCGUCCUAGUCUCAACCAUAAACGAUGCCGACUAGGGAUCGGAUAAUGUUAAUUUUUUAAUGACUCAUUCGGCGCCUUACGGGAAACCAAAGUGUUUGGGUUC
rnacentral:rRNA from 1 species